rnacentral:rRNA from 1 species
CCUACGGGAGGCUGCAGUGGGGAAUAUUGCACAAUGGGGGAAACCCUGAUGCAGCGACGCCGCGUGAGUGAAGAAGUAAUUCGUUAUGUAAAGCUCUAUCAGCAGGGAAGAAAAUGACGGUACCUGAGUAAGAAGCCCCGGCUAACUACGUGCCAGCAGCCGCGGUAAUACGUAGGGGGCAAGCGUUAUCCGGAUUUACUGGGUGGAAAGGGAGCGUAGACGGCAGUGCAAGUCUGGAGUGAAAGGCGGGGGCUCAACCCCCGGACUGCUCUGGAAACUGUACGGCUGGAGUGCAGGAGAGGGAAGUGGAAUUCCUAGUGUAGCGGUGAAAUGCGUAGAGAUUAGGAGGAAUACCAGUGGCGAAGGCGGCUUACUGGACUGUAACUGACGUUGAGGCUCGAAAGCGUGGGGAGCAAACAGGAUUAGAUACCCGUGUAGUC